rnacentral:rRNA from 1 species
UCUUCCGCAAUGGACGAAAGUCCGACGGAGCAACGCCGCGUGAGUGAUGAAGGUUUUCGGAUCGUAAAGCUCUGUUGUUAGGGCAGAACAAGUGCCGUUCUAAUCGGGCGGCACCUUGACGGUACAUAAACAGAAAGCAACGGCUAACUACGUGCCAGCAGCCGCGGUAAUACGUAGGUGGCAAGCGUUGUCCGGAAUUAUUGGGCGUAAAGGGCUCGCAGGCGGUUUCUUAAGUCUGAUGUGAAAGCCCCCGGCUCAACCGGGGAGGGUCAUUGGAAACUGGGGAACUUGAGUGCAGAAGAGGAGAGUGGAAUUCCACGUGUAGCGGUGAAAUGCGUAGAGAUGUGGAGGAACACCAGUGGCGAAGGCGACUCUCUGGUCUGUAACUGACGCUGAGGAGCGAAAGCGUGGGGAGCGAACAG